rnacentral:rRNA from 1 species
UUGAAGAUUGUAACCUUGGGGUUGGCUCUUGUCUAUGUUUCUUGGAACAGGACGUCACAGAGGGUGAGAAUCCCGUGCGAUGAGAUGCCCAAUCCUAUGUAAGGUGCUUUCGAAGAGUCGAGUUGUUUGGGAAUGCAGCUCUAAGUGGGUGGUAAAUUCCAUCUAAAGCUAAAUAUUGGCGAGAGACCGAUAGCGAACAAGUACAGUGAUGGAAAGAUGAAAAGAACUUUGAAAAGAGAGUGAAAAAGUACGUGAAAUUGUUGAAAGGGAAGGGUUUGAGAUCAGACUCGAUAUUUUGUGAGCCUUGCCUUCGUGGCGGGGUGACCCGCAGCUUAUCGGGCCAGCAUCGGUUUGGGCGGUAGGAUAAUGGCGUAGGAAUGUGACUUUACUUCGGUGAAGUGUUAUAGCCUGCGUUGAUGCUGCCUGCCUAGACCGAGGACUGCGAUUUUAUCAAGGAUGCUGGCAUAAUGAUCCCAAACCGCCCGUCU